rnacentral:ncRNA from 1 species
UGCUCAUCCAGAGGGGUGGAGGGACCGGCCCUGCGAAGCCCCGGCAACCUCCCCGGUGUCGAACUCGUGCCCACGAGGCCCGGCCGGGACAGGUGCCAAUUCCGGCUCGCGGCCAGGGUGGUCGCGAGCGAAGAUGAGGG